CAUGCGCGGAGCUCACUAGUGGCAGAGCCCACGACACCCGCUCCUCUCCAGCUCUCUCUUUAGGGACAGAGAGGAAUCUACUUACCAAGAUGGCAGGAGCAAGUGGUUAUCAGAGCCUGCUCUCUAGAAAUACAAUUAAACAAGCAGCCCCUGUCUCUUUUUCUCCACUUUCAGUCUUGGGGAAGGGAUUGGAAUAUGUGAGCAGGAGAGAAGGGUCAUGUUGGAGCAGCCAGGACUCAGAGCCUUUCCGCAGACUGAGUCUGGAUCCUUUCCUUCAGCCUCCAGGAAUACUCCCGGCUCCACACCCAGAAUGGUAAUCCAGGCAAGGGCUCUGGUGUGUGGCCACACUGCCACCUAUUACCUGCGGGUCCAAAUGCAGUGACUCAACUUCUCUGUGCCUCUCU
rnacentral:lncRNA from 1 species